ACCCCACUGCUAUCGGGAUAGGACUAAGACAUGCUAGUCAAGCGCCUUCCAGCCAUGUGGGAGGUGCGGCGCACAGCUCAGUAACACGUGGCUAACCUGCCCUUGGGCCGGAGACAACCCCGGGAAACUGGGGCUAAUCCCCGAUAGGUGAAGAACUCUGGAAUGAGUCUUUGCCCAAAAGGCGUCAGAUCAUGCUUCUGGCGUCGCCCAAGGAUGGGGCCGCGACCGAUCAGGCUGUUGGUGAGGUAAUGGCCCACCAAACCUAUAACCGGUGCGGGCCGUGAGAGCGGGAGCCCGGAGAUGGGCACUGAGACAAGGGCCCAGGUCCUACGGGGCGCAGCAGUCGCGAAACCUUUGCAAUACACGUAAGUGUGACAGGGUCAUCCCGAGUGCCGACCGCUGAGGUUGGCUUUUACCCAGUCUAGAAAGCUGGGGGAAUAAGGAGAGGGCAAGUCUGGUGUCAGCCGCCGCGGUAAUACCAGCUCUCCGAGUGGUGUGGACGUUUAUUGGGCCUAAAGCAUCCGUAGCUGGCUGGACAAGUCCCCUGUUAAACCCACCGAUUUAAUCGUUGGUCUGCGGGGGAUACUGCUCGGCUAGGGGACGAGAGAGGCAGACGGUAUUCCCGGGGUAGGGGUGAAAUCCUAUAAUCCCGAGAAGACCACCAGUGGCGAAGGCUGUCUGCUAGAACGCGCCCGACGGUGAGGGAUGAAAGCUGGGGGAGCGAAUCGGAUUAGAUACCCGGGUAGUCCCAGCUGUAAACGAUGCAGACUAGGUGUUUGGACGGCCACGUGCCGUUCUAGUGCCGCAGGGAAGCUGUUAAGUCUGCCGCCUGGGGAGUACGAUCGCAAGAUUGAAACUUAAAGGAAU
rnacentral:rRNA from 1 species